AAAGGUAUAGCUCAGUGGUAGACCUUGUGCUUAGCAUGUACGAGGACCUAGGUUCAAUCCCCAAUACCUCUA
rnacentral:tRNA from 1 species